AUCCUUUAAAUUCUUUCACUAUGAGGAAUCAGAAUGUUAUGCUGCAUCUAUUCCUAUUAAGUUAAAUUGCAAGAACACUCACUUAAAAAUGAGAAAGUAGCAUCUUACUAUUUCCCUGUGCUUUUCUCCUUUGAAAUGUUUUUGGAACACUCUUGGGACAGUAGACACAUUUUUCAUUUUGCUGUGGACUUCCAUUACCUCAUCUACACAAAAAAGAAGGUGUAAAAUACAUUCAUAUGUUUAAAAGUGGCACCAAACUAACACUCUAGUUAGUACUGUUUUAUAAACAAAAAUAUAGGGAACAAAACAAAAUAUUAGAAAUAUAAGAACACACUGAAGCAGCCAAGAUGGCCGAAUAGGAACAUUCUAACAUACCACUUUUAAUUUGGAUAGUGAAAUUAAUUCUACACAUGAGCACAUUACAUAAAUCAAAUUAUUAAAGAAAUUAUUAGUAUCUUCACAGGGAAGAUUUUUACCAGCAUAUAAAUGUUGCAAUAAUUCUCAAAUUAAAAAGAAAAGAUGUGGAACAGAGAUUGGAAAUCCAAUUAAUAUUCUCAUUUUCUAUUUCUCCUUUGUGCAAUCAAUGCUACAUUUAUCAUAUUUUAAUUCAUGGGAAAGGCAAACCUUAUAAAUGAGCACGUACUCACGAGAUUGAGCACAGAAAAAAUAUAUACUAUGUCUUAUUCCUACUUUAUGUAGUAAAUAAAUUCUUUGUCCUUUGAGAGCAACUUAUUCAAAAUUUGUAUGCUACAGCUCCUCUUCCACUAAUAAUGUAAGGCUGCUAGAGUCUUUUCCUCUUUAUUGACUUGAAAGUGUGCAUAUGUAAGAAGCAGUUAUUUGGCCUAGGAUAUAAAAAGCUAAAAUAAAUUUCCUAUUUUCUCAAUUUUUUCCUGAUGAAAAAUAUUUAAAUGCUAGCUGCAUUAUAACCUUCAAAAACACUCAAUACCAGCCCUUGAAGUGUUAUUAAAUGACUGAAUUCAAGUAAAUGCUAAAGGACUUUAGGUUAAAAGCCAAACAAAAUGGCAUCUAUUUAUUUACUUUCUGACAACAGAAGCAUUUAAACCCUGCUCUUCUGAAAUCCAAAAUAUACAAAUUUACAAAUCUUAGCCCCAUAAUUGAUGAGAAACAUGCUAACAAAUCUCUAAUGCUGAGCCAUUAGUUAAUAGUCAUUUUUCUCAACAUUCUGAAUCAGAUAGGCUAUUAAGAUAUUUACUUUAAAAAUUUUAUUUGUGGGGGAAUGGGCAAAGGAGAGAGAGGGCUGGUUACAGCUGUCUAAAAUUUUAUUUAUACAUAUAAAUAAAAUUUAUAUAUAAAUUUAUAUGUAAAUUUUUAGUGUGUGUAUAUAUAUAUAUAUAUAUAGAUAGAUAGAUAGAUAGAUAGAUAGAUAGAGAGAGAGAGAGAGAGAGAGAGAACUACAUAAAUAUCCCAGGAAUGAAGGGCCUUCAAGAAGGUAAAACAUUUCAUAAGGCAUCUGCCCUUAAUUGUACUUAAAAUAUAAAAGUAACAUAAUUUCUUUGUAACUAGCAUCUUCUAUCAAAAAAAUUAGGAUUACAUACAAAUGUGUUGCGUGUAUUAAAAUAUUAAAUACUUUAAGUAAAUUUUUAUAAAUAUUUAAACAUUCCUAGGGAUAGAUAUUACAGAACAGAACUUCAAUUUGUCCUGAUGGUUAUUCACAACUGCCUCCAAGAAAAACUAUUUUUACCUAGUCUGUUCUCUGUGUAAACAUAGCAUAUAUGCUUAGAUUUAUUCCCCGAAUACGUUUUCCAAUAUUUGUAAAUUGAUAUUAGCGUCAAACAUAACAUUAAACUUUUUGGACAAUUUUCUGAAUUUAGCCAAAAUAGUUUAAAGGUAUAACGCAGUAAAAUAUGAUUAGAUAUUUGAAUGAAUUCACAUUUUGGAUGACUCAGACACUUUCUAAGUAUCAACUCAAGUUUUCCACUAAAAUAAAUUCAGCUUCUUCGUAAAUUAAUUAUUUUAGAAUCCUAUUCUUUUUACAUCUUUACAUCAGUCAUCACUUGUGCUAGCUUAAUGUAUCUAUAUCUUUUUAAGAUAUAAUUAUCCAAAAACUGAACUGUAACUGGCAUAUAAUCAAAUUAUAAAAAUAUUUUCUAGAUCAAAUGAGUAUUAACAUUUCUACAUCUUUUAAAUAACAGUUUGGAUAUGUGACUCAUGGUAAGUUUUUCAACAUUAGUUGUUCCCAGGCAGUUCUACAAUUGAGUCAUUCAAGAUGACUUGCAAAUGUCCCUGGUAAACCUCAUACACUGUGACUUGUCUAGGAAUUUUGGAUGGUAUUACUGUUUUCUUACUUAUAACAUAUACUGUAGUUUUAUAUAAAAAUAAAAUGAAAAGUUUUUUCAUUAAU
rnacentral:tRNA from 10 species